rnacentral:tRNA from 1 species
GCGGAUGUAGUUCAGUGGUAGAACGUCUCGUUGCCAACGAGAAGGUCGCCAGUUCAAUCCUGGUCAUCCGCU